CCAGAUCUUUCCGUCGAAUAUGGCCAACCCUGUAUUUUGGAAUUCUAGAUAAUUCAAGAUAAAUCCAUUUAUUAUCUGUUUUCAACUGAGUAUGAAUGCAACAAUUACAGAUCUAUCUUUUAUUGGGAAAUUUAUUCAGAAGUCGUCACUAAUUUAAACACAGAAACUUUCAUAUAAAUACCGGAUUAUUUUAUUUCCUGAUAAAAAUUAGCAAAUUUUAUGUCGUAAAUUCCUUGCAAUACUUAACGUAUUUGGAAUUGUGAAUAUAAACAGACAACAUUUUUAUCUGGGAAUUCAACUAUGCACCAUGAAAUGGAAAUACUUUUAUAACCAGAUUUAAUAUUUACUUGGAUGAACUUUAUGCCAGUUAAAGACUGAUUUGUGCAUGUUUAUCCUGAUGUGAGCGUAUGUAUUUUUUAUUUGGACAUAACUGGAAUUUUUAGCAGGGAACAUACUGUAGAAAAUGCUACAAAAAUUGGACAAAAUAAUUCAGCAUAGAUAAAACAAAAUUCAAUCAUUAUAUGCUGGCACAAUAUAAACAAAAAAUAAAUCAAAGUUAGAUUUGACAUAAUGGUUGCGUUCAACAGAACAUGACAGUUUUAUAAUCAUUUAUUGUUUGUUGAGAUAGGAUCAUUUCUCUUGAUUUGAAAGUAUAAUCCAGUCAGCGCGAAGAAAACUUCCAACAGUUGCAAGAUAAACGUUCUGGUGAACGCAACCACCGACGAGAUACUAUUAAAGAUAGCACUUAUGAUGGAAAUUUGCGUGUCUGUUAAAAUUUAAAUGAUUAAGAAUAAGAAAUCAGUAAUACGAUAUUAAUUUCGUGAUUUAUUAGUUUCGUAGAUAUGUACAUAUGUUUGUUGUACCGUUCAGGGUGCCAGCACAGUUUAUAGAAUUUAUGGAUCAGCCCCAGUCGUACCGCUCAAGGCGGUACCACUCAGGGCGUGGCGAAAUCACAAUGAUGGCGUUUGUUGGGAAGCCUGGAUCUACAAAUGAUACUUCAAUUCGCAAAAGGAACGUGGUUUGCCCAAACUGAUAGCAUAUUCAACCCGAGUGGAUUUGCACCAACUUAGGUUGGAUUAAUGACGUUGUAUGCUCUCUUAUUGGUGGAACACAUAACAUCAACCAAUAGAAGAACAUUAUUCAACUCAAAUGAGAGCAAAUCCGUUCGAAAACGCUAUGAGCACACCAUGGUUUUUCAACUAGGGCUAGUAGAGAGCCUAUAAUCAGAGUGGCGCCAUACGAGAGAUGACAUCAUGUUUUAGCGAAAUUCUGCGAGAGAAAAAGAGAUAUAUGGUCUCAAUCUAUCCAACAGACUGUCAGUUUUAGGGUUAGGUGCAACAGCAUUGAACGACAUAGAUACGUAAAGGUACAUUGAUAAAAAUAAAGUUAUCGAAAUUAUUUUAGAAAUAUGGUUGGAUGUACAAUACCGUUUUGUAACAAUUCAUUAAAAAAAGGAUAUGUUAUGAAAAUAAUUCCUAAAGAAACACAGAAAACACAGAACGCCGAAUGAAUUGGUUAAAGAGUAUAAAUCGCAAAUAUAAAAAUUAGACACCGUCAAAAAAUUCAUCUGUAUGUGAGAUGCAUUUUGCUCCUAAAAUGUGGGAACAGAAAAUGGAUAAUAAACUAGCGCAUUUAAUAGCGCAAAUAAUGUGCAAUAAAUAACGUUUUGUAUAAAGUAAUGUGCAAUAUUACAAAAUGUACAAUAUUG